rnacentral:rRNA from 1 species
UGGGGAUGACGUCAAGUCAGCAUGGCCUUUAUGUCCGGGGCUACACACACGCUACAAUGGCCGGUACAAUAGGUAGCAAGGACCGCGAGGUGGAGCCAAUCCUAAAAGCCGGUCUCAGUUCGGAUUGCAGUCUGCAACUCGACUGCAUGAAGUUGGAAUCGCUAGUAAUCGUGGAUCAGCCAAGCCGCGGUGAAUACGUUCCCGGGCCUU